UGAAGCUGGAACUCAUUUCAUUGU
rnacentral:misc_RNA from 1 species